rfam:Culex pipiens quinquefasciatus supercont3.73 genomic scaffold, whole genome shotgun sequence.
UUAAAGGGUCUUUUUAGACCCACCUUAGUAAAAGUUUAAAUUCUUCU